UGCAAUAAUUGGCCUUGUUCCUGAGCUGUUGGAUUCGGGGCCGUAGCACUGUCUGAGAGGUUUACAUUUCUCACAGUGAACCGGUCUCUUUUUCAGCUGCUUCCUGGCU
ensembl:miRNA MIR128-1 microRNA 128-1